rnacentral:rRNA from 1 species
GACGAACGCUGGCGGCGUGCCUAACACAUGCAAGUCGAACGGAGAUUUCAGCAAUGGAAUCUUAGUGGCGAACGGGUGAGUAACGCGUAGACAACCUACCGCUUAGAUGGGGACAACACUGGGAAACUAGUGCUAAUACCGAAUGUUGUAUUUUGGUCGCAUGACCAAAAUACUAAAGGUGGCCUCUGCAUAUGCUAUCGCUAAGUGAUGGGUCUGCGUCUGAUUAGCUAGUUGGUGAGGUAAUGGCUCACCAAGGCGGCGAUCAGUAGCCGGUCUGAGAGGAUGAACGGCCACACUGGGACUGAGACACGGCCCAGACUCCUACGGGAGGCAGCAGUGGGGAAUCUUCCGCAAUGGACGAAAGUCUGACGGAGCAACGCCGCGUGAGUGAAGAAGGUUUUCGGAUCGUAAAACUCUGUUUUCAGGGACGAAUGUGGGAUGUGUAAAUAAUGCAUCCUAAUGACGGUACCUGAGUAGAAAGCCACGGCUAACUACGUGCCAGCAGCCGCGGUAAUACGUAGGUGGCAAGCGUUGUCCGGAAUUAUUGGGCGUAAAGCGCGCGCAGGUGGGAUAUUAAGUCUGGUGUUAAAGUUCGGGGCUCAACCCCGUGAAGCAUUUGGAAACUGAUAUUCUUGAGUGCAGGAGAGGAAAGUGGAAUUCCUAGUGUAGCGGUGAAAUGCGUAGAUAUUAGGAGGAACACCAGUGGCGAAGGCGACUUUCUGGACUGUGUCUGACACUGAGGCGCGAAAGCUAGGGUAGUGAACAGGAUUAGAUACCCUGGUAAUCCUAGCUGUAAACGAUGGGUACUAGGUGUAGGGGGUAUCGACCCCUCCUGUGCCGGAGUUAACGCAAUAAGUACCCCGCCUGGGGAGUACGGCCGCAAGGUUG